rnacentral:rRNA from 1 species
CUAGUAGCGGCGAGCGAAGCGGGAAGAGCUCAAAUUUAUAAUCUGGCACCUUCGGUGUCCGAGAUUGUAAUCUCUAGAAGUGUUUUCCGCGUUGGACCGCACACAAGUCUGUUGGAAUACAGCGGCAUAGUGGUGAGACCCCCGUAUAUGGUGCGGACGCCCAGCGCUUUGUGAUACAUUUUCAAUGAGUCGAGUUGUUUGGGAAUGCAGCUCAAAUUGGGUGGUAAAUUCCAUCUAAAGCUAAAUAUUGGCGAGAGACCGAUAGCGAACAAGUACCGUGAGGGAAAGAUGAAAAGCACUUUGGAAAGAGAGUUAACAGUACGUGAAAUUGUUGGAAGGGAAACGCUUGAAGUCAGACUUGCUUGCCGAAGCUUGCUUCUGUUUGCAGGCCACCAUCAUUUUUCCGGGAUGGAUAAUGACAGUUUGAAGGUAGCACUCUCGGCUGUGUUAUAUCUUUCCG